rnacentral:rRNA from 2 species
GACGAACGCUGGCGGCGUGCCUAAUACAUGCAAGUCGAGCGGACAGAAGGGAGCUUGCUCCCGGACGUUAGCGGCGGACGGGUGAGUAACACGUGGGCAACCUGCCCCUUAGACUGGGAUAACUCCGGGAAACCGGAGCUAAUACCGGAUAAUCCCUUUUUCCACCUGGAGAGAGGGUGAAAGAUGGCUUCGGCUAUCACUAGGGGAUGGGCCCGCGGCGCAUUAGCUAGUUGGUAAGGUAACGGCUUACCAAGGCAACGAUGCGUAGCCGACCUGAGAGGGUGAUCGGCCACACUGGGACUGAGACACGGCCCAGACUCCUACGGGAGGCAGCAGUAGGGAAUCUUCCGCAAUGGACGAAAGUCUGACGGAGCAACGCCGCGUGAGUGAGGAAGGCCUUCGGGUCGUAAAGCUCUGUUGUGAGGGAAGAAGCGGUACCGUUCGAAUAGGGCGGUACCUU